CAGGUAUAUAUAUUGUGUAUCAUCACAAGGAUCCCAAUUUAUAUUUUAUAAAAUCAUCAAUUCAGUUUUACCUUUCAUAUAACAUAUACGUAGUGUUUUACCCUGAUACAUGUGUAUUAAUAAUUUACCGUCAAUAUUACAAAAGGAGUGGACUCGGAGCAGCUGAUUGAAUACGAAACAUACAUGUAGCAACUUUUGAAAAAUUAUAAUACCUCUUUAACAACAAAAACACCAAACAGCAACAAAUAUGCAAAAGAACUCGUAAAAACAGGUUUAAAUCUCUCUGUCAAGUUCACCCAGCAGUACAUGAACAAUACGCGUCCGUUACAGCGGAGUCCGAGAGAUCAACAGUAAGCCGGUGAGGUGUUUACCCCUUCCUCAUGCUUCGGAAGCAUCUUGCGCUAAUAAUUACAGUGUUAUCUUUGUUUUUGUUAAUAGUUACGUUGUGAAUGUACCCUUCUUGAAAAUAAAUUAAACCUUUUGAUAGACUUUUCUCAGAAAAGGCGUGAUUAAACGACGCUAUUGUGAAGUUGUCAGGGACGAGUUCUAAAUCACCCGCCAUGUUGUUUACAAAGUUUGUCGGAGUAUAGAGUCACGUGAUUUUGGUUGCCAUCGGUGGGCGGGGCGUGGAAGCGUGAACUGCAGGAUGAUUUCAGAUAAAAGCAAAUGGCUAUUAUAGUACACAAGCUUAGUACUAAGAUUUGUCUGGAUGUAGUGACUAGUCUGAAGACUAUGACAAUAAUUUCAAGCUCCCGGCAUUCUCCUCAAGUUCAUAGAAAGAUUGCGUCCUGUACUGAAUCUGCAUGGCUAUGGUGAAGUUGCAUUAACAUUUUCUGGAUAAAAUCCAAACUUGCCUUAUGCUUUGGUUAACACAUCAGAAAGGGAGAAAUGGAUGGAAAGACUUGAAGGGCUAAAUGAAUUUAGGAAAACUAAUGAAGCACCAAAGAACAAGAAGAAUAGAAAUAUCUAAAUGUUAUCAUUUGCCGGAAUUAAAUUUAUUUUAAUUGUGAGAAUUGUUGUGGUUAUUUUUCUCUAGCUAUAAUUUUAGAUAAACUCAAGUGGCUUGGAAAGGAAAACCAAUGAAAUUUCUCAAGAUCAAUGGAUGGGAGUUUGGAACAGCAAGUUCAGGAGUAUCAACAAAUGAUUUUAAAGACUGAAAACAUUUAGAGGCAUUUAUUUUACAUGUAUUUGCAUGUGAAAUAAGUGGAUAGCAUACAUUCUAUGUAUUUUAUUUACUACUGAGGUUUAACA